UCGGGUUGUAAAGCACUUUUGUCCGGAAAGAAAACCUUCGCUCGAAUACAGUGGGGGGAUGACGGCACCGGAAGAAUAAGCACCGGCUAACUACGUGCCAGCAGCGCGGUAAUCGUAGGGUGCGAGCGUUAAUCAGAAUUACUGGGCGUAAAGCGUGCGCAGGCGGUUCGUUAAGACAGAUGUGAAAUCCCCGGGCUUAACCUGGGAACUGCAUUUGUGACUGGCGAGCUAGAGUAUGGCAGAGGGGGGUAGAAUUCCACGUGUAGCAGUGAAAUGCGUAGAGAUGUGGAGGAAUACCGAUGGCGAAGGCAGCCCCCUGGGCCAAUACUGACGCUCAUGCACGAAAGCGUGGGGAGCAAACAGGAUUAGAUACCCUGGUAGUCCACGCCCUAAACGAUGUCAACUAGUUGUUGGGGAUUCAUUUCCUUAGUAACGUAGCUAACGCGUGAAGUUGACCGCCUGGGGAGUACGGUCGCAAGAUUAAAACUCAAAGGAAUUGACGGGGACCCGCACAAGCGGUGGAUGAAUGUGGAUUAAUUCGAUGCAACGCGAAAAACCUUACCUACCCUUGACAUGGUCGGAACCCUGCUG
rnacentral:rRNA from 1 species